UUAAAUAAAUUAAAACGUACUUUAAAGGAAGAGAAAGCUACAGCAUUUUCAGCAUCUACUUUGUAUUUACACAUUGGAUCUAACCUUCCAAAUAACAUGUGCUGGUCGGACACUCACUUAUGUAGAUGGUGAUCAAAGGACAGUGGGUAAUGUCUUGCUCUGUCCUAAGGCUCACGGGCCAAACGUUCAGUCCUUCUUUACCGAAUCAAGCUGGAGGCUGCGGGCAACGGACAGCACCCCCUUGUGGCCAACCCGAGGAAUUACCAUCACUUUAUUAACUGGAGAGGUAAUUUUAAAUAAAUCCAUCAUGCAACUUGAAACAGCCAAAGAGAACAGUGAGGAUUAAGAGGUGCAGGCAGUGAUGUUGCACAAGAAGCCCAAUGAGCAAGGAACCAUGGUCCAUGGCCCCUUCUCUUGAAUCCCGGCAGGUUCUGUGCCUGUUCUGACCAACAAAGUAGGAUGGAAGUGAUGCAGAGUCAGUGUGGGGUUUGUGGCUUUUGAGAACUGGUGACUUUCACUUCCUGCCCAUUUGAGGGCCUGGGCCACCAUGUAAAAAGACAGCCCGUUCCUCCAAGACCACCAGGCUGAAGAGGCACAGGUAGGCUCCUUGGUAGACAUUUCCAGCCCGGCACCUCGCCAGGCAGGUGAGCGGAGCUGACUUGGAGCCUCUGGGCCAGCGCGUCCA
rnacentral:lncRNA from 1 species